CACAGCUGCCUGAACUGAGCAGGGGGAUUUUCAGGGUUGCCAGCUGUGGGGAUUUAAUUGUUUCACCCGCGAGUCUAUAAAGGGGGGUACCACAGGGUAGCUCUAAAUCCUGUUGUGAUUCAGGGAGGAGGAGGUGAUUUGGAGGUCAGCUAUUGCAUAUGAAGUACCCUGUGUAUUCAGAAUGCUCAGCAAAGUGUUAAAUCAUUGACGCAGGAGACGUUCCAAGUGUUGAUGCCUUGCUGAAGCAUGUGACAAGGAAGAAGAUGGUACUUGUUCACUUAAGAGGCAAACAGAACAUUUGGAAGUGACAUGGCAGUUGGUGGACACCUACAUUUGCUUCUUGGCCAAGGCUUCCAAAGGGAUCACUGACGGCACCUUGCUACACUGCUGUCUCUGGGUUUGGCUGUGGAAAUCUGAAGAUACCUGCAAAAUGUCACCUGCUAGAAAUGAUGGGGACUUUAGAGGGUCCAUCCAACAAGGUAGACAUGGCUGGUUGGUUCAGAAAACAUCUGACAAUAUUUCUGGGAGAGGUGUAGUGAGCUGUUAUCUAUCUUCCUUACACUGAGUGUAGAUCAGAACUGGUCCUCAUCUUUGUCACUCAUUAAAAGAGUGAUGUGGAAGAUGCUCUCUUCCUGUCUACCGGUCAAAAGCUCCAGGAGAGACUUCCCUGACUUCAGUUAUUUCCUUUGUGACAAUUGGCUCAAACCCUGUGUAUGCGAGGCUUAUCUUAGCACUCAUUCUGAUGUGAUGAUUCCCAGUUAUGCUUUCAGUUAAAGAAGUUAAGAGUAUCUGAGAUUCUCAGCUAGCAAAUAUUGAUGUAGAAGUGUAAGCAUAUCAUCUUUAUUGCAUCUGCAUCUUGGUUCCUCUGUUAGAGGAAGUGGGAAUGAUGGCACCGCCUGUAAAAUGCUUUGAAAAAUGCAUGCAAGAAGUUAGCUGAAAAAAAAUCUGUCAUGAUAAUAAAAUACUGAUAAUAUCUAUGAGCAUUCCAGGAUAUCCCAUUUCACCUAUUGAAAAUGGACAAAGAUUUGAGGUGGAAAGAAGGACAAAACAAUUAUAAGUCUGAUCAUUUCCCCUUGAUAAUGAUAUAUGAUGAACUAGACUUUCUGUAGAAGUAUAAUAGAAGAAAAGGCAUAUUUCCACCACAUGUAUAAGAUACAAGUCAAGGUCUUGAGAUACUAGUGAAAAUAUAAUUUCUGAUGGUAAAUGUGUAUUCAAAACUCUGGCUAUUUGUUUUGGUGAUCUUCCUCAGAAGAGACUGGAAUAUCUGUGAGGCCAGUUAAAUAUUUUAAAUGAAUUUUGGACCACUAGAAUGAUAUUAUCUAUGUUAUUCUGCAAGUUGCCUUGAUCCUAUGUCAAGUGGCUGGUGAGAUGAUGUCUCUUAUUCACAAAUUCUUCUAUAUUUACAUUUGGAUAAAACUUUGUUUGGAAUAAGAAAUGUUUGUAAGGGAAGAGUUUUCUUUUUCCAUAGAAAGUACAAAAACUUUUUUAGCAAAUAAUACUUUUAGCACUCCCAUUAAACACUGUUUGUAUUAUGUAUACAGUACUCUAAAAAUAUACUUUACAGAUUAUGUCUCUUGCAGUAUUACUUCCAGAAAUGGAACAGAAAAUACCAGAGCUUUACAUUUAAAGUAAAACAUCAAGAGAGAGUGCAUGAAUAAUUGUGAAUGUGGUAAAAAGGGAGUUAAGCUGAAGAAAAGGAGUAUUUCAUUAAAUACUGGAAACCUGUAACUCAUACAUGCUGUAUUAGCAUGGUGUACAUUGUUCUGUAUUGAUGGGGCACUCACACCCGAGUGUU